GACGAACGCUGGCGGCGUGCUUAACACAUGCAAGUCGAACGGAAAGGCCCUGCUUUUGUGGGGUGCUCGAGUGGCGAACGGGUGAGUAACACGUGAGUAACCUGCCCUUGACUUUGGGAUAACUUCAGGAAACUGGGGCUAAUACCGGAUAGGAGCUCCUGCUGCAUGGGGGGGGUUGGAAAGUUUCGGCGGUUGGGGCUGGACUCGCGGCUUAUCAGCUUGUUGGUGGGGUAGUGGCUUACCAAGGCUUUGACGGGUAGCCGGCCUGAGAGGGUGACCGGGCACAUUGGGACUGAGAUACGGCCCAGACUGCUACGGGAGGCAGCAGUGGGGAACAUUGCACAAUGGGCGGACGCCUGAUGCAGAAACGCCGCGUGCGGGAUGACGGCCUUCGGGUUGUAAACCGCUUUCGCCUGUGACGAAGAGUGAGUGACGGUAAUGGGUAAAGAAGCACCGGCUAACUACGUG
rnacentral:rRNA from 1 species